rnacentral:misc_RNA from 1 species
UUUCAAUUUAAACUCAAUUUAACCUAAAAAUAAAAAAAAUCAAGGAAUUGAACUUCUUGAUUUUUUGUUAAAUCAAGAAAUUAAAAAAUUUAAUCACAAAAUUAAGAAAUUGAACAAAUUAAUUUUUUUUAUUUAAAUUAAGAAAUUUAGCCCAUAAUUAAUUUUUGGGCUAAAUUGAAUUUACACUUUUGGCUAAUUUGAACAAAAAGUUAAAAAUGGGU